ensembl:miRNA mir-4931 ncRNA
GAAUUUUGCUCGCGCCAAAAUGAGAACUACACGACCAAUCAGUGAUGUGCUCCACCCAAUAUUGAACCAAUCGCUGAUUGGUUGAGCAGUUCUCAUUUUGGGUGG